rnacentral:rRNA from 1 species
GAUGAACGCUAGCGGCAGGCCUAAUACAUGCAAGACGAGCGGCAAGAAUUGUAGCAAUACGGUUCCUAGAGUGUCGCACGGGUGCGUAACACGUAUGCAACCUACCUUGUACAGGAGUAUAGCUCGGGGAAACUCGAAUUAACCCUCCAUAAUAUAAUCGGAUGGCAUCAUCUGAUUAUUAAAACUUCGGUGGUACAAGAUGGGCAUGCGUUUGAUUAGCCAGUUGGCGGGGUAAAGGCCCACCAAGGCGAUGAUCAAUAGGGGAACUGAGAGGUUGAUCCCCCACACUGGCACUGAGAUACGGUCCAGACUCCUACGGGAGGCAGCAGUAGGGAAUAUUGGUCAAUGGAUGGAGGUCUGAACCAGCCAUGCCGCGUGCAGGAAGAAGGCCUUCUGGGUUGUAAACUGCUUUUGACAGGGGAUAAAAAUUCUUUGCGAAGAAAAUUGAAGGUACCUGGUGAAUAAGCACCGGCUAACUACGUGCCAGCCGCCGCUGUAA